ACUCCUACGGGAGGCAGCAGUAGGGAAUCUUCCACAAUGGACGAAAGUCUGAUGGAGCAACGCCGCGUGAGUGAUGAAGGGUUUCGGCUCGUAAAACUCUGUUGUUGGAGAAGAACAGGUGAUAGAGUAACUGUUAUCAUCUUGACGGUAUCCAACCAGAAAGCCACGGCUAACUACGUGCCAGCAGCCGCGGUAAU
rnacentral:rRNA from 1 species